rnacentral:rRNA from 1 species
GACGAACGCUGGCGGCGUGCUUAACACAUGCAAGUCGAACGGAAAGGCCCUGCUUUUGUGGGGUGCUCGAGUGGCGAACGGGUGAGUAACACGUGAGUAACCUGCCCUUGACUUUGGGAUAACUUCAGGAAACUGGGGCUAAUACCGGAUAGGGGCUCCUGCUGCAUGGUGGGGGUUGGAAAGUUUCGGCGGUUGGGGAUGGACUCGCGGCUUAUCAGCUUGUUGGUGGGGUAGUGGCUUACCAAGGCUUUGACGGGUAGCCGGCCUGAGAGGGUGACCGGCCACAUUGGGACUGAGAUACGGCCCAGACUCCUACGGGAGGCAGCAGUGGGGAAUAUUGCACAAUGGGCGGAAGCCUGAUACAGCAACGCCGCGUGCGGGAUGACGGCCUUCGGGUUGUAAACCGCUUUCGCCUGUGACGAAGCGUGAGUGACGGUAAUGGGUAAAGAAGCACCGGCUAACUACGUG